rnacentral:tmRNA from 1 species
GGGGGCGACCUGGUUUCGACGGGAAUAAGGGUGGCGUUUCAGCAUGCCGAGGUAGUCGGCAACCUCGACAAAAGCCGGCAAACACCGUAAGUGCGGACUAUAACUACGCACUGGCCGCGUAAAAACAAUUAGCGGCUCGCCUGCCGUGGAUGCGCCUGCGGGUUCACGGAAGUGGCGUCGAUUACUGCGGGAUAGCUUUCCGGUUUUCCCCGGACCGGUAGGCGAAACUUGAGGGGAUGGCGGUAUCGAGAGCCUGCCUGUCGGCGAGCGGUGCCGCGAGAAUUAAAUGACAGGCUAAGCAUGUAGACGGAGCGCAGGAAUUAUUUUCGGACGCGGGUUCGAUUCCCGCCGCCUCCAUAU